rnacentral:rRNA from 1 species
AACGAACGCUGGCGGCAGGCCUAACACAUGCAAGUCGAACGCUCUAGCAAUAGAGCGUGGCAGACGGGUGAGUAACGCGUGGGAACCUUCCCAAUGGUGCAGAAUAGCCCAGGGAAACUUGGGGUAAUACAGCAUAAGCCCUUCGGGGGAAAGAUUUAUCGCCAUUGGAUGGGCCCGCGUCGGAUUAGCUAGUUGGUGAGGUAAUGGCUCACCAAGGCAACGAUCCGUAGCUGGUUUGAGAGAAUGACCAGCCACACUGGGACUGAGACACGGCCCAGACUCCUACGGGAGGCAGCAGUGGGGAAUCUUGGACAAUGGGCGCAAGCCUGAUCCAGCCAUGCCGCGUGAGUGACGAAGGCCUUAGGGUUGUAAAGCUCUUUUGCCGGGGACGAUAAUGACGGUACCCGGAGAAUAAGUCCCGGCUAACUUCGUGCCAGCCGCCGCAGUAA